rnacentral:rRNA from 1 species
GUGCAGCAGUCGAGAAACCUCCGCAAUGCGCGCAAGCGCGACGGGGCCAUCCCGAGUGCCGCUCGCUGAGGGCGGCUUUUCUCCGGUGUAAGUAGCCGGAGGAAUAAGGAGAGGGCAAGUCUGGUGUCAGCCGCCCGCGGUAAUACCAGCUCUCCGAGUGGUGGGGACGAUUAUUGGGCCUAAAAGCGUCCGUAGCCGGCUUGACAAGUCUCCCGUUAAAAUCCAGCGGCCUAACCGCUGGGCUGCGGGAGAUACUGUCAAGCUUGGGGGCGGGAGAGGCCAGCGGUAUUCCCGGGGUAAGGGGUGAAAUCCGUUAAAUCCCGGGAGGACCACCAGUGGCGAAGGCGGCCGGCCAGAACGCGCCCGACGGUGAGGGACGAAAAGCUGGGGGAGCGAAACCGGAUUAGAU